UACGUAGGGUCCGAGUGUUGUCCGGAAUUAUUGGGCGUAAAGAGCUCGUAGGCGGUUUGUCGCGUCUGCUGUGAAAUCCCGAGGCUCAACCUCGGGUCUGCAGUGGGUACGGGCAGACUGGAGUGCGGUAGGGGAGAAUGGAAUUCCUGGUGUAGCGGUGGAAUGCGCAGAUAUCAGGAGGAACACCGAUGGCGAAGGCAGUUCUCUGGGCCGUAACUGACGCUGAGGAGCGAAAGCGUGGGGAGCGAACAGG
rnacentral:rRNA from 1 species